AUAUCAAUAAGCGGAGGAAAAGAAACUAACAAGGAUUCCCCUAGUAACGGCGAGUGAAGAGGGAAAAGCUCAAAUUUUAAAUCUACCUGGUUCCCAGGUCGAAUUGUAAUUUGAAGAAGCGAUAUCUGUGUUGAGGUCUGGUUCAAGUUCUUUGGAACAAGACAUCAUGGAGGGUGAGAAUCCCGUGCAUGAUCAGACCAAGAUACUUAAUAUUCGUUUUCUAAGAGUCGAGUUGUUUGGGAAUGCAGCUCAAAUUGGGUGGUAGACUUCACCUAAGGCUAAAUAUCAGCGAGAGACCGAUAGCGAACAAGUACUGUGAAGGAAAGAUGAAAAGCACUUUGAAAAGAGAGUUAAAUAGUAC
rnacentral:rRNA from 1 species